ACAACCUACGCAGUCGCUGCCGCUAAUCGAAGCGACGUGAGUGCAACAUGUCGUACCAGAACUUCCACGAACCUUAGUAGACACCGGUGUAUCCUUAUGACUGACAUAUUCCGGAAUCAGCUUCCGUAGAUUCGCUUGAAUAGACGCGAAACUUCAAACCAAGUUCGCUCGCCCGCCGUCGCAAGCACCGCUCAAACCUUGACGGUGAGAGACCAAACACCCGGGACACAUGCUCCGCAAACGACUGUUCCGGUGGGCAUGACGCUCUCUGACGCAUUUCUGAUAGUCCUAGGCCCUGGGCUGUGAUCCGCCAGGGACAGCUGCCCCAGAGCGCCGUGGUGAGCCGUUGUCGAUCAACCGCUUUGAGGACUGCACGCACGCGCGGCUGCAUACGCGUCGCUGGCGGGAGUCGCCGCAUGCAGAGCACAAUCUCACGCCAAACCUUGUCAUCGUGCUGAUUAAGAUGCGGCAAGGAGUCCGCAAACCAGCCAUCAGAGACGCUUUGCUGAACAGAUGCUAUAUCGUCGGCGACCUCGCCUGUCGGUGCUGGGGCAUGAAUCCCCGUCGGUACGUUCUCGGCAAGCUCUAUCAGACCUGCAUCCACGUGUAGCGCAGUCGCUAGAACCGUAUCAAGCGCGGCUUCAAGUUCCGUUCGCGGAGACCAGUCCCGUACCUGACGCUGUAUGCACGCUUCGGUAGCCGCACCGGUUGUCGCCGAUGACUGUGGGGAGCCCUCCGAGCAGCGUGCCGCCCAACGAUCGCGGAGCCAGCGCACGAGCGCUUCGGGUUGCUCAAUCGGGAUGUCUAUUGCCAGACGACGUUCAGGUGCAGACCCGCUGCGAAUAUCUUCCGGAGCAAUAUCCCAACUGACCAAGGUACGCUCGUCGCCGAGCUUCGCUACAAGUUGAUGGGCUCUCGCCACCAGCCUGGGUCGAUGCGUUCGAUACUCAUGGUCUUUGCAAUGAAUGUACGGCAGGAGCAGCUCACGCAGACGGCUCAUCAGGCCUCGUUGCAACUGAUCCAGAAAACACAAUGAAUGAUAGGCGUUCAGGCUGGGAUCAGACGUUUCCGCUCUCGCCUCGACAAUGCCCAGGAAGACCGCAGCCGUGAGGGUGCUCGCACCAAUCCGAAGUUUCACCGCUCCAGAGCCGUUCGCAAACGCACGUGUCACGUACUGGUGAUGUCGGGCGAAACGACUCGUGAGAAGUGCAUGGAUCCAGUGACUGACAUAGCGGAGCGCUACGGACCCUGCGGUCUGUCCUACAAGGUAGGCGAUGGCCUCACCGAUAGCACCAAAUACGAUGCUGAGGUUCAUCAGCUCCGUGGUGUCAGGGCUCUGCAGGUCCGCAGCAAUCGCUACACCGAGUCGCCGUCGAUCCCAGAGCCGAGCGCGUCGACGCGGGCUCGCCAGCUCCGGCGCUUCCUUUCGCUGUUUUCGUUGGGCGACUCGUGCCCUGUCAAUCAGACUCUGACGGGUAAAAUGAACACCUGAGUCGAAGACGUCGAUGCCGGUUGUUUCGUAGCUUUGUUGAACGGCAUUGCAAACAGCACAAACAGGACGACCCUCGUCGUUCCAACGGAACCGACGAGCACCACACGACCCACACGAAUAAAUCAUUCCAGAAGGCGGAAAGAGACCCCGCAGACGAGACACCCGCCGCAAGUGCAAAGCGCUCCGGCUCGAGGAACGCACCUCGCUGGCGAAACCAGAGAGACAGUAGUGUCCGACCCCGGUGUCAAGCUUGGGCGCCUAUGUUCAAUACUAGAGGCUAUGCACGACAAAAUUCUGGCAUCGAGCACUUUUCAUCCGAUGUUUCCGAACGACUUCAUCUAGGGACCUUUGUAAGCCACCCGUGGCACAACGCUGGAAACAAAGAACGACGCUGGAAUCGUACGUUUGCCGCCGUGGCGCUAGACGAGCGCCUAUCGAGCUGCACCUCGACGCCUGAGUUGUCAAAAGGCUUUCCAUCACGCGACUUUCAUCGCAUAAAAGCAACCCAAG